rnacentral:rRNA from 1 species
CACGUAGUUAGCCGGGGCUUCUUAGUCAGGUACCGUCAUUUUUUUCCCUGCUGAUAGAGCUUUACAUACCGAAAUACUUCUUCACUCACGCGGCGUCGCUGCAUCAGGGUUUCCCCCAUUGUGCAAUAUUCCCCACUGCUGCCUCCCGCAGGAGUCUGGGCCGUGUCUCAGUCCCAAUGUGGCCGUUCACCCUCUCAGGCCGGCUACUGAUCGUCGCUUUGGUAGGCCGUUACCCUGCCAACUGGCUAAUCAGACGCGGGUCCAUCUCACACCGAUAAAAUCUUUUCCGUCAGUGCCAUGCGGCACCAGCGGGUUAUGCGGUAUUAGCGGUCGUUUCCAACUGUUACUCCCCCUGUGUGAGCAGGUUACCCACGCGUUACUCACCCGUCCGCCACUCAGUCACAAGAGACUUCAUCCGAAGAAUCAUUCUCAGGUGCUUCGUUCGACUUGCAUGUGUUAGCACGCGCCAGCGUCAUCUGACGCAGGACUCAAA